UACAGAGGUCCCAAGCGUUGUUCGGAUUCACUGGGCGUAAAGGGUGCGCAGGUGGCAUGGUAAGUUCGAUGUGAAAGCCCCGGGCUUAACCCGGGAAAGGCAUUGGAUACUACUGUGCUGGAGGAUUGGAGGGGGGACUGGAAUUCUUGGUGUAGCAGUGAAAUGCGUAGAUAUCAAGAGGAACACCAGUGGCGAAGGCGAGUCCCUGGACAAUACCUGACACUGAGGCACGAAAGCCAAGGGAGCAAACAGG
rnacentral:rRNA from 1 species